UACGUAGGUGGCAAGCGUUAUCCGGAAUUACUGGGUGUAAAGGGAGCGUAGACGGUAGUGUAAGGCUGGAGUGAAAGGCGGGGGCCCAACCCCCGGACUGCUCUGGAAACUAUGUUACUAGAGUGCAGGAGAGGUAAGCGGAAUUCCUAGUGUAGCGGUGAAAUGCGUAGAUAUUAGGAGGAACACCAGUGGCGAAGGCGGCUUACUGGACUGUAACUGACGUUGAGGCUCGAAAGCGUGGGGAGCAAACAGG
rnacentral:rRNA from 1 species